UUAGUAUUUGCUGAGAUAUUCUCCAAGAUCCAUACAACACUGCAUUAGCAGUAAUUACUUCCCUGAAGACACAAUUGAAUAUGGCAGCAACCAGACUGUUUGAGGACCAGAUAUACAGAACUUCGUUUCCUGCCAUCAGCUAUCUAUUUGAACUUUAUCAGCUGAUUUCCUCAUCAACAGCCUGUGUUGAAAGACUGUUUAGUUUGCUCAACCUGCUUUGCACACUACACAAAAAACAGGCUUGCGGAAGCAACACUUGAGUCCCUGAUAAGACUAUGUCGGCACACGGAGAGACUUGGUGAAGAGGAGGUCACCAGAAUAAUCGACGAAUUUGCAGAAAAGCCAAGAAAUGUUGUGCUUUGAACAUGAACAUAACAUGUUGAUGAAAAAAGGAGUUGUAAAAAUGUUUUUCUCUAAGUACAUGUGUAUGGUGAAUUUAAUUUAGUGUUAAAACUUGAUUUUCCUU